CCUACGGGGGGCAGCAGUGGGAAUAUUGCACAAUGGGCGCAAGCCUGAUGCAGCCAUGCCGCGUGUGUGAAGAAGGCCUUCGGGUUGUAAAGCACUUUCAGCGGGGAGGAAGGCGGUGAGGUUAAUAACCUCACCGAUUGACGUUACCCGCAGAAGAAGCACCGGCUAACUCCGUGCCAGCAGCCGCGGUAAUACGGAGGGUGCAAGCGUUAAUCGGAAUUACUGGGCGUAAAGCGCACGCAGGCGGUCUGUCAAGUCGGAUGUGAAAUCCCCGGGCUCAACCUGGGAACUGCAUUCGAAACUGGCAGGCUAGAGUCUUGUAGAGGGGGGUAGAAUUCCAGGUGUAGCGGUGAAAUGCGUAGAGAUCUGGAGGAAUACCGGUGGCGAAGGCGGCCCCCUGGACAAAGACUGACGCUCAGGUGCGAAAGCGUGGGGAGCAAACAGGAUUAGAUACCCCGGUAGUC
rnacentral:rRNA from 1 species